rnacentral:rRNA from 1 species
UACGUAGGGGGGCAAGCGUUGUCCGGAUUCAUUGGGCGUAAAGAGCGUGUAGGCGGCCAGGUAGGUCGGUUGUGAAAACUGGAGGCUCAACCUUCAGACGUCGACCGAAACCAUCUGGCUAGAGUCCGGGAGAGGAGAGUGGAAUUCCUGGUGUAGCGGUGAAAUGCGCAGAUAUCAGGAAGAACACCCGUGGCGAAAGCGGCUCUCUGGAACGGUACUGACGCUGAGACGCGAAAAGCGUGGGGGAGCGAACAGG